rnacentral:snRNA from 16 species
AAUUAUAUCCCAUUGUUACAGGGCCUUUAAGAAGACCCACAGUACAAUUUUUGAAAACCCUGCUCUUUCUAGAUCAGGGUG